rnacentral:tRNA from 1 species
GGGGUUGUGGCUCAAUGGUAGAGCGCUUGUCUAGCAUGUGUGAGGCCCUGGGUUCGAUUCUCAACACCA